rnacentral:rRNA from 1 species
CAGCCACCCUUAAAAGAAAGCGUAAUAGCUCACUGGUCGAGAGGUCUUGCGCCGAAAAUGUAACGGGGCUAAGUCGCGUACCGAAGCUUAGGGUGUCACCUUUAUGGUGGCGCGGUAGCGGAGCGUUCCACGGGAAUUCUAGCGCAACUGUGAAGAUGCGUGGUGGCCCGUGGAAGUGAGAAUGCUGGCAUGAGUAGCGAUAAGGAAGGUGAGAAUCCUUCCCGCCGAAAGAGUAAGGGUUCCUGGGCCAGGCUCGUCCUCCCAGGGUCAGUCGGUCCUAAGCCGAGGCCGAAAGGCGUAGGCGAUGGCUAGCAGGUUAAUAUUCCUGCACCACCACAGUGUGUUGAAGCAGCGGGGACGCCCGAGGAUAGGCCAGAAGGUGAUUGGUAGUGCCUAUCCGGGACAUAGGCUGGGGCGUAGUUCCCAGCUGAAGGGAACCGGCGAGAUGACGGCGCAAGCCCGAUUCGAGUGGUUGGGUCCUCGGGACGAGAAAAGCCGUCUGUGGAGCACUGCGUGUGACCGUACCGCAAACCGACACAGGUACUCGAGGAGAGAAUCCUCAGGCGUGCGAGAUAACUACCGCUAAGGAACUAGGCAAAAUGACUCCGUAACUUCGGGAUAAGGAGUGCCUUGUGGGGUGAGGCCACUUGCUGGCGCAGCCCUGCGAGGCCGCAGAGAAUCGGCCCCUGUGACUGUUUACCAAAAACACAGCACUCUGCUAAGGCGUAAGCCUACGUAUAGGGUGUGACGCGUGCCCGGUGCUGGAAGGUUAAGGAAGGGGGUUAGCCGCAAGGCGAAGCUUCCGACUGAAGCCCCAGUGAACGGCGGCCGUAACUAUAACGGUCCUAAGGUAGCGAAAUUCCUUGUCGGGUAAGUUCCGACCCGCACGAAUCGCGUAACGAAAGGGGCAGUGUCUCGGCGGUAGGCUCGGUGAAGUUGCAAUUCCGGUGAAGAUGCCGGAUAACCACAGUAGGACGAAAAGACCCCGUGGAGCUUUACUAUAGCUUGGCAUUGGUCCUCGGUUCAGUCUGUGCAGGAUAGGUGGGACGCGUUGAAGCGGGAGCGUCAGCUUCCGUGGAGCGGUCCUUGAGAUACCACCCUGACUGAACUGGGGAUCUAACCGUACGCCAUGAAUCUGGCUACGGGACAGUGCCUGGUGGGUAGUUUGACUGGGGCGGUCGCCUCCUAAAGAGUAACGGAGGCGCGCAAAGGUUCCCUCAGCACGGUUGGAAACCGCGCAUCGAGUGCAAAUGCAUAAGGGAGCUUGACUGCGAGACCUACAAGUCGAGCAGGUGCGAAAGCAGGCGUUAGUGAUCCGACGGUUCCUCAUGGUAGGGCCGAAGCUCAACGGAUAAAAGUUACCCCGGGGAUAACAGGCUAGUCUUACCCAAGAGUUCAUAUCGACGGUAAGGCUCGGCACCUCGAUGUCGGCUCGUCGCAUCCUGGGGCUGGAGAAGGUCCCAAGGGUUGGGCUGUUCGCCCAUUAAAGCGGUACGCGAGCUGGGUUCAGAACGUCGCGAGACAGUUCGGUCUCUAUCCACUGUGGUCGUAGGAGAAUUGAGAGGAGCUGCCCUUAGUACGAGAGGACCGGGGUGGACUAGCCUAUGGUGUACCAGUUGUCCUGCCAGGGGCACCGCUGGGUAGCUAUGCUGGGUUUGGAUAAGCACUGAAAGCAUCUAAGUACGAAGCCAUCCUCGAGAUGAAUUCUCCCACUGGGUUAACCAGGUAAGGCCCCCGGAAGAUAACCGGGUAAUAGGCUGGAGGUGUAGAGGCAGUAAUGUCACAGCUGACCAGUACUAAUCGGCCGAGGUCUUGGCCAU